GAUGGAGAACGCAGCGAAAUGCGAUACGUAAUGUGAAUUGCAGAAUUCAGUGAAUCAUCGAAUCUUUGAACGCAUAUUGCGCUCUCUGGUAUUCCGGAGAGCAUGCUUGUUUGAGUAUCAGUAAACACCUCAACUUCCAUAUCUUUUUUGAAAUGGGAGUUGGACUUGAGUGAUCCCAACGCUUUUCCUCACCGAAAAGUGGCGGGUUACUUGAAAUGCAGGUGCAGCUGGACUUUUCUCUGAGCUAUAAGCAUAUCUAUUUAGUCUGCCUAAAAAACAGAUUAUUACCUUUGCUGCAGCUAACAUAAAGGAGAUUAGUUCUUGUGCUGACUGAUGCAGGAUUCACAAAGACAGCUUCGGCCGACUUUGUAAACUCGAUCUCAAAUCAAGUAAGACUACCCGCUGAACUUAAGCAUAUCAAUAAGCGGAGGA
rnacentral:misc_RNA from 1 species